rnacentral:rRNA from 1 species
GACGAACGCUGGCGGCGUGCUUAACACAUGCAAGUCGAACGGUGAAGCUCCAGCUUGCUGGAGUGGCUCAGUGGCGAACGGGUGAGUAACACGUGAGCAACCUGCCCCUGACUCUGGAAUAAGCGCUGGAAACGGCGUCUAAUACUGGAUACGAGAAGGGUCCGCAUGGGCACUUUCUGGAAAGUUUUUCGGUUGGGGAUGGGCUCGCGGCCUAUCAGCUUGUUGGUGAGGUAAUGGCUCACCAAGGCGACGACGGGUAGCCGGCCUGAGAGGGCGACCGGCCACACUGGGACUGAGACACGGACCAGACUCCUACGGGAGGCAGCAGUGGGGAAUAUUGCACAAUGGGCGAAAGCCUGAUGCAGCGACGCCGCGUGAGGGAUGACGGCCUUCGGGUUGUAAACCUCUUUCAGCAGGGAAGAAGCGAAAGUGACGGUACCUGCAGAAGAAGCACCGGCUAACUACGUG